AUUCUACCCAUGUGGGGAAGGAUGAGAAGCUUCGACUAAGGUUCGAUUCGAGCGCAGCGAGAAAGCGUUGCCGUAGGCAACGACCCGAAGGGCGAAGCGCGCAGCGCUGAGUAAUCCUUCCCCCACCACCA
rnacentral:sRNA from 13 species